rnacentral:rRNA from 1 species
GACGAACGCUGGCGGCGUGCUUAACACAUGCAAGCCGAGCGGUAAGGCCCUUUCGGGGGUACACGAGCGGCGAACGGGUGAGUAACACGUGGGUGACCUGCCCUCAGCUCUGGGAUAAGCCUGGGAAACCGGGUCUAAUACUGGAUAUGACUCCAUGACGCAUGUUGUGGGGUGGAAAGCCUUGUGCGGCUGAGGAUGGGCCCGCGGCCUAUCAGCUUGUUGGUGGGGUGANGGCCUACCAAGGCGACGACGGGUAGCCGGCCUGAGAGGGCGACCGGCCACACUGGGACUGAGACACGGCCCAGACUCCUACGGGAGGCAGCAGUGGGGAAUCUUGCGCAAUGGGCGAAAGCCUGACGCAGCGACGCCGCGUGAGGGAUGACGGCCUCGGUGU